GGUCACUCCUCCUGUAUGGGGUCUGGGUCUGCAACUGUGGUCACUCCUCCUGUAUGGGGUCAGGGUCUGUAACUGUGGUCACUCCUCCUGUAUGGGGUCAGGGUCUUCCUCAGUCUGGGC